rnacentral:rRNA from 1 species
UACGUAGGGUGCGAGCGUUAAUCGGAAUUACUGGGCGUAAAGCGUGCGUAGGCGGUUCGCUGUGUCCGAUGUGAAAGCCCCGGGCUUAACCUGGGAAUGGCAUUGGAAACUGGCGGGCUUGAGUGCGGCAGGGGAGACUGGAAUUCCUGGUGUAGCGGUGAAAUGCGCAGAUAUCAGGAGGAACACCGGUGGCGAAGGCGGGUCUCUGGGCCGAUAUUGACGCUGGAGGAGCGAAAGCGUGGGGAGCAAACAGG